ACAUGCAAGUCGAACGAUGAAGAGCAGCUUGCUGCUUGGAUUAGUGGCGCACGGGUGAGUAAUAUAUAGGUAAUGUGCCUCUUAGUCUGGGAUAGCCAUUGGAAACGAUGAUUAAUACUGGAUACUCCUUCUAACUCUAAUGUUAGUCGGGAAAGUUUUUCGCUAAGAGAUCAGCCUAUAUCCCAUCAGUUAGUUGGUAAGGUAACGGCUUACCAAGGCAAUGACGGGUAGCGGGUUUGAGAGGAUGAUCCGCCACACUGGUACUGAGACACGGACCAGACUCCUACGGGAGGCAGCAGUGAGGAAUAUUGCACAAUGGGGGAAACCCUGAUGCAGCAACGCCGCGUGGAGGAUGACGCAUUUCGGUGUGUAAACUCCUUUUAUAUGUCAAGAAAAUGACGGUAGCAUAUGAAUAAGCACCGGCUAACUCCGUGCCAGCAGCCGCGGUAAUACGGAGGGUGCAAGCGUUACUCGGAAUCACUGGGCGUAAAGGACGCGUAGGCGGAUUGGAAAGUCAGAUGUGAAAUCCUACAGCUUAACUGUAGAACUGCAUUUGAAACUUCUAAUCUAGAGUAUGGGAGGGGGAGAUGGAAUUAGUGGUGUAGGGGUAAAAUCCGUAGAUAUCACUAGGAAUACCGAAAGCGAAGGCGAUCUCCUGGAACAUUACUGACGCUAAGGCGUGAAAGCGUGGGGAGCAAACAGGAUUAGAUACCCUGGUAGUCCACGCCCUAAACGAUGAACACUAGUCGUCGGGAUGCUUGUCAUCUCGGUGAUGCACUUAACAGAUUAAGUGUUCCGCC
rnacentral:rRNA from 1 species